rnacentral:tRNA from 1 species
GGAUGGGUGGCCGAGUGGUCUAAGGCGGCGGUCUUGAAAACCGCUGACGUCCAAAAGGCGUCCGGGGGUUCGAAUCCUCUCCCAUCCG